UGAACCCUGAAGGAAAAACAAAUGCUGUUAAAGGUGCUAUGUUCGGCUACAGUCUUACACAUCACUGCCUUUGGCAGAAGGCACCAAUGGCACAUCUGGCAGCAACACACCAAAACUAUGCUGGAAGUGGAAAAGCUGCCAAUUGCUGGGACAUUUCAGAAGCCUCUCGAACAUAUUUGGAUUGGAAGGGACUGUUACUGGGUCAUCCAGUCAAGCUGUUUGCAUUGUUCACUGGAUUUACUCAGUUAUUCCAAGCCAUCCCUGAUGGAUGGGUGUCUAGCCUAGCCUUGAAAAAUCUCGUUUCACAACCUCUGUCUUGGCAACUAGUUCCACUGUCUAACUUUUCUCCCAGUUAUAUAAUUUUCUUAAUUUCAGACCAAAUUCUUUCUUCUGCAGCUUAAACCUAUUAACACCCUGACUCCUGACCAACAGGAGUGCUUGAUCCUUGUCCUCUCCAAACCAUCCUUCUGGGUGUAUGCACAUUCCUUGGUGGUCUCUGCUUUAUUCUAGAGACAGUCUACCUUCCCUUGAACAUCUCACAACAUCUUCCAGUGCUUUCACCAGCUUUAAGAUUGUUUUACUUGUUUUUGAAGAUGGAGCCCAAACUGAUGGUUGUUUAAAGUCUCAGCAGUACUCAGUGCAAAAAUGUACAAGAGGAGGUAGUGCAUGCUGUGAAGGCUGUGACUGAACGACGCAAAAGGAAACCCUCAGCCACAAACAAGGUAAGACCAGCCAAGCCUUUACCAGUGCUGUGAGGGCAGGUGGGACAGGAAAGCAGGGUGAAAACAAUGUGAGAACCACUGCACUUAAAAGACAGGGGACUGUUGCCACCUACAAGGAGACAUGGGCCAUAGCUGACCUGCCCACAGCACGCUUUCCUCCACUGUGGCUCUCAAAGCACUCACUGUCUAUGCUUCUCCCCAGCAGGCUGAGGCAGACAGCCUGAGGCAGGGACAUCCUCCCACCUGGCGCUCAGUCUGCUCCUAACCCUGCUGGUGGUACAAGACUUCACUGCUGCCACUCUCCCAGGAGGACCCGUUUGGAAAGAGCAGCUGAGGCCAGCAGAACACAAGAUUUCAGGACAGAGAGAUGUCAGAGCAGACGUUGGAUAGCAUGGCCUUCAGUCCCCUCCAUUUCAGCAUGGCAGUGCUCUCCCAGGCAGCCCAGCUAGAUCAGCACUGGGGAAAUGCCACAUCUACCAGCUGUGUUGUGUCCACUGCAUAAGAACAGGCGGAACUGCCCUGAAAGCAUCACCAACAUCUGACAAGUUCCUUCACAGCACCAGGUUCCACUUGCUAUUCUCUCUAUUCUAUCAAAAGUAUUUAAUAUUGUUCUAACAUAUGCAUAAGAUCUCUAUCUGAUGCCCCCACAAUUCAAAGGAAAAAAUUAUGUGCUCUAUUAAACUGAAAUGUAAUGGGA